GCUAGAAUAGUUCAGUUGGUUAGAGCGUGUGGCUAUUAACCACAAGGUCGGAGGUUCAAGCCCUCCUAGUG
rnacentral:tRNA from 1 species